rnacentral:misc_RNA from 1 species
AGAUCAUCUAUCAAAAUGUGAUAAUAUUAAUUUCACGAAAUAAAAAUUAGGUAAUUUUAUGUCAUCAUAAAUUAAAUCAAUUAAUGGCCUUCAAUUAGUGAUAAAUUAAAUAAUCACAUGUAAAACUAAGAACAUGUAAAAAUCGAGAUAUUAAAUCACAUGAUCACACAUUUCAGCUUUUGCUCCUUUUGAUGUAAUAUAAUAAAAGAGAAGAUAAAUGGAAAAGAUGGCAAAAUGGUACUUUCAUUGUUUUUAGAAAUAAUGAAAGUGCUUUCUCUUUUAGCUAGUAGAUUAAUAUGAUGAUGGUGGCAAAUUCAAUUAAAUUAUUAAUUCUUUAUUUCAUCAACGUUUGCAAAAUCAGCAUUAACUUAAAUUUUUUAUUUUUAUUAGUUAUAUCACCAAAUAUCAAUAAACUAUUGAUUAUUUAAAUUGUUUUAUUCAAUUGAAUACUUAU